AUGGCUGCCCUGAGAUUCCGAGAAAAUCGGCCGGGAUGUCCAUCAGCCAGUUGCUUCGCCGAAAGUCUUUAGUCGCUGGUUGUCGGUGUCGCGUCGGGACCGUUGGUCGGGUGGAACAAUUGGAUAAAAGAUGAGUCGGACGUGACGGAACGAAGGAUUUACAGGGUCACUGAAUACUUGUCCAGAAUCGGAGAAUAGGAUCGAUAAACGUGGAGGUUACAUCGGUCGAGAUGGGAAUACAGGACGAAUGUAAACAGGGUUUUGGUUAGUGACAACGAUGAUGCAUUACAUCUAAGACUCUAUGCUAGGACUAUGAGAAAAUCGAUGAACGUUGCGCGAAUUGUGCUCCAGGCUUGUGAAAUUAUUCGCCUGAUGGAUCUUCUUCAACAGGGUGGACGAUCGAAUUAAAUAUCCUGGUGCACAAUCCGCGUACGAUCGUGGCUAAGGGAAAUCGACGAAACACGGGGAAGGCAAGUUAAUGAAGAGCGAAGAAAGGACAGACAGACCACACGAACGAUGUUCGAAUAAUUAAGUAAACGGAAGACGAAGGAUAAACAAAAGAACACGCGGUACGAGUAACAGGUGAUCGUUAGUCACGUGCGAGGAGUACAUGCUGAUCAAACACAGUUGCAUGCUUUGCUUCGAUGUACAGAGGAUUGGGUGCUGUUAAAUAUGCGGUUCGUUGUCUGUAGACGUGCAAAGUACUUCUUGCGAGAUAGAUGCAAAUAUUAGAUAUUGGAUGCACUAGAGAACGAUAUUAUUACUGCAAACCAAUAUUAUCUCGAGUUGAAACUCCUUACAUAGUAACAUUCAUGUUUCUAUAACAAACGGAAAGCCAUCUUUUCGAAAGAAAUACAUCUUGAAGAGGUGCGUUAUCAUAAAAGGCCUUGCUCGAGAAUUAACGCGUUAGAGAAAGGAAAGUGUCAUCCAACAAGCGCCACUGGCAAAGAGAAACAGACAGUGAGUUAAAGCCAGAGCAAACAGAAAGCCGACCAGGUUCCCAUAGGCCAACAUUCAGCGAAACCACUGAAAAUCGUCAUUAAGAAACCUGUGGUAUCCGUUCACCGAGUGGACAAGUGAAAUUCAGAAGAGAGAGAGAGAGA